AUUGAACGCUGGCGGCAUGCCUUACACAUGCAAGUCGAACGGUAACAGGUCUUCGCUUGCUUCCUUGUUGCGGACUGGUGGGUGAUACAUCGAUACGUGCCCAGCCUCCUGGUGUAAGGGGACGACAGCUUUACUCGUACCCCAUUCGCUCUAAGUAUCGCAGCAGCAGACCGCAAGGCCUUGUGCGUUUUUGCCGUCCGAUGUCAGAUUAGGUAGUUGGUGGGAUAAAGGCUUACCAAGGCGACGAUCUGUAGCUGGUCUGAGAGGAUGACCAGCCACACUGGAACUGAGACACGGUCCAGACUCCUACGGGAGGCAGCAGUGGGGAAUAUUGCACAAUGGGCGAAAGCCUGAUCCAGCAAUGCCGCGUGUAUGAUGAAGGCCUUCGGGUUGUAAAGUACUUUUAUAGGGAAAGAAAAGAAUAAAGUUAAUACCUUGGCUAAUUGACGUUACCCGAAGAAUAAGCACCGGCUAACUACGUG
rnacentral:rRNA from 1 species